ensembl:lncRNA
CGGACGGGGGUGCUGGACCCGCAGAACUCCUGCGGUAUCUGCUGUUCCCUUCAUCCCGCCUUGGUAUUACAGGACGGAGAGGAGGGCCCUGUCGAGGACACAAAAAAGGAAGUCCUUCACAUGGGCGAUUCUACACGGAGACAAAGGAGAGCAGAGGGAGGACAGGCUCACAGCCGCAGAUGGACACCAGAGAGGAUGUAGGGAGUGCCAGGAGCAUCGCAGGCUGAUUCCACCAGCGAAGCAUCAAAACUUCGAAGCCGAAGGCUCUGCAUCCACAACAAACAGAGUCGAGUGCAGGAAACACAGAACCUGUCGUCUGCAGUCAGUGAAGCUCCGGUCCAGACUCCUGCACGAGGCCUCCUGCAGUAGCUUUGCUUACAGUGCCCCCUUCUGUCAUAUGAUACAACCAUAUAUACACAUUGACUCAUAUGCAUAUGUAUGUACACAGCACCAGUCAGUCAGGUGGGACACAUCUUCUCAUUGUGUCUCUCGACUGGUACUCUACAUCAUUUUUCUCUCUUCAAGUAUCUCAAUCGGUAUUUUGCAGGUUUUCACCUGACCUGACUAAAGUUGUGAGUGGCGCUUCGUUGCCCCCCCGCUCAUCUACCACAGUGGAAAAAUGUGGUGCUGCACAGGAAGCCAUGAGAUGCACUCGUGUGUAGGAGGUGCUGCUACGGUAGAAAAAGGGGGUAGCUCAGGAGUUUGGGUGCUUACUACAGCAGCAUCCACUGCUAUUUUUAACCCGACCGGUUCGUAACAUCUUGAGCGCCUCCACACAGAACAUUUAUAUUGAUAUAUAUUUAAGUGUAUUAUUUGAUUGCAGCUAUCGAACAACAGCAUAUUUGACUGCAGCUAUCGUACAACAUGUUAUAAUAGUUAAUACAACUUCAUCAAUGCAUUUUCUCCACUGUGUGCCUUUGAGACUUGAUUAAAAACGGGUUUGUCGAUGUAA